UGCUAAAGCGGAGAAAAUUGGGAAUCCCGGGCAGGACUGCCCGCUGCCCGUGCUGCCCGUUGAGUGGAUGAAAGAGCGUUCCUUACUCUAUAAAUAGAAGAGCCGUCCUAUGAAACGCAGUUUGCCGCUUUGGCUACUGAAAGCCGGGUGCGAAGGACAUAUAUCCUUGUAUCUCUUUCCUUCCAGCAGCUACCUCAUGGCUUCUCCCUUUGUUGUUGCUGCUGCACAAGCAUGCAAGGACCGCAACAAGAACAAUGCUUCGUUCCGCAGCAUGAAGCGAUCCUGGUCAUCGAAUGAGUCAUCAUAUGGCUCCAGCGCUGCGACGAAAUCCUGCGUCUGUGCUCCUGCCACGCACGCCGGAUCUUUCAAAUGCAGGCUCCACAGGGUGUGGAAUUAAGUUUGAUUUUGAUGGUAUGUUCCCGUAUGUGCAAAUGUUGUGCGAAGAUUCGAGGCGUUUUUCAAAAUUUCACCCAAAAAUUUGAAUAUGGAAUGUGAAUCAAACCAUGUUUGAAUUGAGGAUGACUUCCAACUGCUUCACAUUAGCAUUCCCGUCAACAUUAUGAAAGGUUGCAAAAUAUUUUCGUUCAUGGAUGCCUUCUCCAUGUAUAACCAAAUCAAGAUGGAGGAUUGAGGGAACACAUCUUUUGUCACCGCAUGUGGAAUUUGCUGCUGCUGACUUGUUGCAUUUAGGCUGGAGAAUGCCGAAUCUACAUAUUAGCGAGCCUUGCCAGAUUUAUCCCCGACGUGAUGAACAAGUAGAUGGAAGUGUAUGUGGGGACAACAUGAUUGUCAAAUUUCGAAGUAUCAAGGGACACUUCAAAAGUAUAAAGAAGCUCUUUGAUCAAUUAGAAAGGUACAGAAGCUCUGUUUGUUCCAUAGAUGCAGGAUUGAGUUGCUUGUGCUCUGAAUAUAGGGUUUGCAGACCAAAAAAAGUUGGUUCGGGCAUCUUUGGACAGUUUUGCAUUCGGUUUAUCAUUCGUAAUUUAUUAUGCUAAAGUUGCAAAUACACCAAACAUUUAGAGAGGAAUGCAAGUUAACAUCACUUAGAUAAGGCUGUGGAGGCUAUUCAUGUCUUCAUGGUGCAGGAUGUUUUCUGAAGGCAUCGUGAGGGCUGCACUUGCAGGCCAAACUCCAACUGCUCCUGGUGUUCUUCUAGGAUGGGUAGCAUCUUAGGCAGCCUGCACAUGUACCCUGGCUCAUCGAACAACCCCCCAUCCUCAUGCAUCCAAUAGCUUGCUCUUCCUCGAAGUUAAAAAUACAGUUGUGGAGAACAUUCUGACUCCAAAAAGAAUUUUUAUAGACACAGUUACAACUAUGAUAUCACACAUUGCAACUGACUCAGCUUUGGCAAUUUCCUGAACCCACAGAACUCGCAUUUCACUACAAAUUCAGUAUAGAGCUGCCAUUGAGAAAAGUGUUGGCAGAAGUGGGAAAAGUAAGGAAAGAUGAAGGUGAAAUCAGACUCUGUUUCCCAGCUUUGCAAGAGAAGAUCUUCAAUACCAGAUAGGUGGAUUCGUUGCUUAUGCUAAUGUCAUGCUUUACCACAUUGUAUUGGCAGCCGUUGAAAGCAAAUCCAUGACCAUUCACCAAUGAAAACAGCCGAGGUCUGAGGGAGCAACAUGCACAUCCCCUCUAUUCAUGUAACAGAGAACCAGGCAACUGCACGAAUUGACAAUCAACCAGUAAUUUUCUAACAAGGUGAGGGGUUGCAGACAACGAAGGACCAUGAUCACAGAUGAAAUGGCAGAUGUUCUUGCAUCGGUUAGUUUGUAAUAUGAAUGGGUGCAAUGGGAGACUGGACAAUCUGACGUGAUUUUUACCACAUUGUCUUCACACUAAUCAGUCUCAUCCAUCUAAUGCAGAAAGACAAUUUUCCUGUGGCUGUGGUUCCUUUUUUUUUUUUUUGCAUGUUCAUUAGAAACUACAGCAAUGGGAGAUGACAAUAUCUGGGCAUUUGUGUAUGUCAGGUAAGUAAAGGGUCCUUUCUUGUGAAUAGACUGUAAUCCUGGCAGAACUCGAUGGGGAUGAGAAGAUGGUUUGUGUAAGAUGAUAUGAUUUUCUUAUUUUAACUGAAGAGAA